UCCUGAUAUUUAAAAGGAGCAUCUCCCGGGGGUGUGGGGUUUGUGCUUGAAAUUUAGUUCCAUUCCUGGAUAUAAUUUUUCCUGUUUUGUGGUUGUUUUUUUGGGGGGGGUUUUUUUUGGUUGGUUGGUUUUUUUUGGGGGGGUUGGUUUUUUGUUUUUGUUUUUUUGGGUUUUUUUGUUGUUUUUUUGUUUGGGUUUUUUUUUUAAUCCAAUGAGAGUUUUCUAACUGCUUCUGAAUUCCAGGAGGAACAGCACGAUAAUCUUUGUGUCUUACUGCAGGAAAGUUUACAUUGCAAUUGUAACUCUCCUGCCCUUGGACAGUUUUAACUCAUCUGCAUCAACAUCUUAAAAAGGAUUUGACAAAGUUUUGUCCCAAAUCACCUCCCUGUUCCUGUUCCUGCCUUUAGAAGUUCCCAGUGUGGCUGAGCCUUGUUGUGGUCGUAGCUGGGGAUGCAGGGAGCAGCACCCUCACAUCUACAGAGACUUACACAGGAAGGACAUUUUUUGGAGUUAUUGUAACAGCCUUGGUUGACUCACUACACUUUCCCAUUGAAGAAGGUUGAGAAGAAAAGCCUGUGAUUUAUUUAAAAAGGGCUUUUUUCCCCUCUCUCAGAAGCACAAUGAGCUUUUUCUUGGAUGAAAGCCAUGAUUGCAGUUUGGCUCGUGUGCCCUGCAUCCCCCUGUGAGCAGGUCCCAGGCAUCACUUUGUGCAUCGCUGGCAGGCGGCGAGCGGAGCCGCAUCCGUAACCCAGCUGCUGCCACCGGGUGUCACACAGGACCCCCAGAAAGGACCACAAUGCCCCCUCCCCGAGGAAAGCUGGCAAGUGUGAACCUCAGCGGUGGGAAAACCCCUCGGGAAGAGGCUGCCCAGCUGGCUGAGUGUUCUCCGGGAACAGAAAAGCAGGUGCCUCCAUCCCACUGACAGAUUUCAGGAGGUGGGUCCUGUCUUUGGGGUGAAAUACAAAGAGACACCACUUCCAGAAAGCUUUCCCAGCCUUUUCCCAGCUGGCAGAGCUCUGGGAAGCUCUCUGUGCCUGUGCAGAGAAUAUUUUAAUCUCUGCUGCUGUUAUUAGUAUUAUCACUGCUAAUGGUAAUCGAUAAAUUAAGGGCUAUGGGAUUCCCCACUGAGAUAUUGCUCAGCUGAGCCUUAGCACUUUGCAAACACCCGCUGGGAAAGCCAUUCCUGCUGAAAUCGCUCUGGAGCCGGCUGGGAUUGCCCUGGGGGAGAUAGAGAGUUCUAAAUCACCGUCUUGUAGAGGCUGGUGCUGGUUUAGUGCAAAGCAUAAAGAGCCCACAAAGGCUUUUGUGCUGCGGGUUGGAGUGACACAAUUCCUGCCCAUGCCCAAGGGAUGAGAAAUCAGGGAUGCUGUCUUUAUAAAACCAGGAUUUUUUUUCUUGUGAAAGCCCAAGAUCUUUGAAUUUGGCCCAUAUGCGACAACAUGGUGAGGUUGGCAAAGGUGAAAUAAAAAAAGGUGAAUAAA